GGGUUGUGAGGUUAAGCGACUAAGCGUACACGGUGGAUGCCCUGGCAGUCAGAGGCGAUGAAGGACGUGCUAAUCUGCGAUAAGCGUCGGUAAGGUGAUAUGAACCGUUAUAACCGGCGAUUUCCGAAUGGGGAAACCCAGUGUGUUUCGACACACUAUCAUUAACUGAAUCCAUAGGUUAAUGAGGCGAACCGGGGGAACUGAAACAUCUAAGUACCCCGAGGAAAAGAAAUCAACCGAGAUUCCCCCAGUAGCGGCGAGCGAACGGGGAGCAGCCCAGAGCCUGAAUCAGUGUGUGUGUUAGUGGAAGCGUCUGGAAAGGCGCGCGAUACAGGGUGACAGCCCCGUACACAAAAAUGCACAUACUGUGAGCUCGAUGAGUAGGGCGGGACACGUGGUAUCCUGUCUGAAUAUGGGGGGACCAUCCUCCAAGGCUAAAUACUCCUGACUGACCGAUAGUGAACCAGUACCGUGAGGGAAAGGCGAAAAGAACCCCGGCGAGGGGAGUGAAAAAGAACCUGAAACCGUGUACGUACAAGCAGUGGGAGCACGCUUCGGCGUGUGACUGCGUACCUUUUGUAUAAUGGGUCAGCGACUUAUAUUCUGUAGCAAGGUUAACCGAAUAGGGGAGCCGAAGGGAAACCGAGUCUUAACUGGGCGUUAAGUUGCAGGGUAUAGACCCGAAACCCGGUGAUCUAGCCAUGGGCAGGUUGAAGGUUGGGUAACACUAACUGGAGGACCGAACCGACUAAUGUUGAAAAAUUAGCGGAUGACUUGUGGCUGGGGGUGAAAGGCCAAUCAAACCGGGAGAUAGCUGGUUCUCCCCGAAAGCUAUUUAGGUAGCGCCUCGUGAAUUCAUCUCCGGGGGUAGAGCACUGUUUCGGCAAGGGGGUCAUCCCGACUUACCAACCCGAUGCAAACUGCGAAUACCGGAGAAUGUUAUCACGGGAGACACACGGCGGGUGCUAACGUCCGUCGUGAAGAGGGAAACAACCCAGACCGCCAGCUAAGGUCCCAAAGUCAUGGUUAAGUGGGAAACGAUGUGGGAAGGCCCAGACAGCCAGGAUGUUGGCUUAGAAGCAGCCAUCAUUUAAAGAAAGCGUAAUAGCUCACUGGUCGAGUCGGCCUGCGCGGAAGAUGUAACGGGGCUAAACCAUGCACCGAAGCUGCGGCAGCGACACUAUGUGUUGUUGGGUAGGGGAGCGUUCUGUAAGCCUGUGAAGGUGUGCUGUGAGGCAUGCUGGAGGUAUCAGAAGUGCGAAUGCUGACAUAAGUAACGAUAAAGCGGGUGAAAAGCCCGCUCGCCGGAAGACCAAGGGUUCCUGUCCAACGUUAAUCGGGGCAGGGUGAGUCGACCCCUAAGGCGAGGCCGAAAGGCGUAGUCGAUGGGAAACAGGUUAAUAUUCCUGUACUUGGUGUUACUGCGAAGGGGGACGGAGAAGGCUAUGUUGGCCGGGCGACGGUUGUCCCGGUUUAAGCGUGUAGGCUGGUUUUCCAGGCAAAUCCGGAAAAUCAAGGCUGAGGCGUGAUGACGAGGCACUACGGUGCUGAAGCAACAAAUGCCCUGCUUCCAGGAAAAGCCUCUAAGCAUCAGGUAACAUUAAAUCGUACCCCAAACCGACACAGGUGGUCAGGUAGAGAAUACCAAGGCGCUUGAGAGAACUCGGGUGAAGGAACUAGGCAAAAUGGUGCCGUAACUUCGGGAGAAGGCACGCUGAUAUGUAGGUGAAGUCCCUCGCGGAUGGAGCUGAAAUCAGUCGAAGAUACCAGCUGGCUGCAACUGUUUAUUAAAAACACAGCACUGUGCAAACACGAAAGUGGACGUAUACGGUGUGACGCCUGCCCGGUGCCGGAAGGUUAAUUGAUGGGGUUAGCGGUAACGCGAAGCUCUUGAUCGAAGCCCCGGUAAACGGCGGCCGUAACUAUAACGGUCCUAAGGUAGCGAAAUUCCUUGUCGGGUAAGUUCCGACCUGCACGAAUGGCGUAAUGAUGGCCAGGCUGUCUCCACCCGAGACUCAGUGAAAUUGAACUCGCUGUGAAGAUGCAGUGUACCCGCGGCAAGACGGAAAGACCCCGUGAACCUUUACUAUAGCUUGACACUGAACAUUGAGCCUUGAUGUGUAGGAUAGGUGGGAGGCUUUGAAGUGUGGACGCCAGUCUGCAUGGAGCCGACCUUGAAAUACCACCCUUUAAUGUUUGAUGUUCUAACGUUGACCCGUAAUCCGGGUUGCGGACAGUGUCUGGUGGGUAGUUUGACUGGGGCGGUCUCCUCCUAAAGAGUAACGGAGGAGCACGAAGGUUGGCUAAUCCUGGUCGGACAUCAGGAGGUUAGUGCAAUGGCAUAAGCCAGCUUGACUGCGAGCGUGACGGCGCGAGCAGGUGCGAAAGCAGGUCAUAGUGAUCCGGUGGUUCUGAAUGGAAGGGCCAUCGCUCAACGGAUAAAAGGUACUCCGGGGAUAACAGGCUGAUACCGCCCAAGAGUUCAUAUCGACGGCGGUGUUUGGCACCUCGAUGUCGGCUCAUCACAUCCUGGGGCUGAAGUAGGUCCCAAGGGUAUGGCUGUUCGCCAUUUAAAGUGGUACGCGAGCUGGGUUUAGAACGUCGUGAGACAGUUCGGUCCCUAUCUGCCGUGGGCGCUGGAGAACUGAGGGGGGCUGCUCCUAGUACGAGAGGACCGGAGUGGACGCAUCACUGGUGUUCGGGUUGUCAUGCCAAUGGCACUGCCCGGUAGCUAAAUGCGGAAGAGAUAAGUGCUGAAAGCAUCUAAGCACGAAACUUGCCCCGAGAUGAGUUCUCCCUGACUCCUUGAGAGUCCUGAAGGAACGUUGAAGACGACGACGUUGAUAGGCCGGGUGUGUAAGCGCAGCGAUGCGUUGAGCUAACCGGUACUAAUGAACCGUGAGGCUUAACCUUACAACGCCGAAGGUGUUU
rnacentral:rRNA from 1 species